UGGAUGGAAGCCAAUUUGGGCGCCUAGCUGUUAAUUAGGAAGCUGUAGCAAAUAAGACUACCCAUUCAG
rnacentral:tRNA from 1 species